rnacentral:rRNA from 1 species
GGUCCCGCCUGCCCUGUGACUAUAUGUUUAACGGCCGCGGUAUUUUGACCGUGCAAAGGUAGCGCAAUCACUUGUCUUUUAAAUAAAGACCUGUAUGAAUGGCAUGACGAGGGCUUAACUGUCUCCUUCUCCCGGUCAAUGAAAUUGAUCUCCCCGUGCAGAAGCGGGGAUAUUAUUAUAAGACGAGAAGACCCUGUGGAGCUUUAAAUGAUGAGAGAUUUUAUGCAACAAACCUAAAAAGGUAUAAGCGAAUUUAUACUCCCUCUAAUAUUUUUGGUUGGGGCGACCGCGGAGUAAAAAGAAACCUCCGUGAGGAAUGAGGUAAUUAACCUUAAAUCCCAGAACGACAAUUCAAAGAAACAAAAUUUUUGACCUAAAGAUCCGGCAAAGCCGAUCAACGAACCUAGUUACCCCAGGGAUAACAGCGCAAUCCCCUUCAAGAGUCCCUAUCGACAAGGGGGUUUACGACCUCGAUGUUGGAUCAGGAUAUCCUAAUGGUGUAGCCGCUAUUAAGGGUUCGUUUGUUCAACGAUUAAAAUCCUACGUGAUCUG